GAUGAACGCUGGCGGCGUGCCUAAUACAUGCAAGUCGAGCGGUAAGGCUCCUUCGGGAGUACACGAGCGGCGGACGGGUGAGUAAUACGUAGGAACGUACCCCAAAGUGAGGAAUAACCAGCCGAAAGGUUGGCUAAUACCGCAUAUGCUCUACGGAGUAAAGCAGCAAUGCGCUUUGGGAACGGCCUGCAUCCGAUUAGCUAGUUGGUAAGGUAAAGGCUUACCAAGGCGACGAUCGAUAGCUGUUCUGAGAGGAUGAUCAGCCACACUGGAACUGAGACACGGUCCAGACUCCUACGGGAGGCAGCAGUAGGGAAUUUUCCACAAUGGGCGAAAGCCUGAUGGAGCAACGCCGCGUGCAGGAUGAAGGCCUUAGGGUUGUAAACUGCUUUUAUCUGUGACGAUUAUGACAGUAGCAGAUGAAUAAGGAUCGGCUAACUCCGUGCCAGCCGCCGCGGUAA
rnacentral:rRNA from 1 species